GGAGUUGUGGCUCAUCGGUAGAGCACUCGCCUAGCAAAUGUGAGGCCCUGGGUUUGAUCCUCAGCACCA
rnacentral:tRNA from 1 species